CCUAGAGUGGUGUAGUGGCAGCAUAUCCUGUGGCAAACAUACCACGAAAGGUGGUAUGGGGGGAAGACUCGGGCUCGAUUCCCGGCUCUAGGC